AGCGAACGCUGGCGGCAGGCCUAACACAUGCAAGUCGAACGAACCUUUCGGGGUUAGUGGCGGACGGGUGCGUAACACGUGGGAACGUGCCUUUAGGUUCGGAAUAACUCAGGGAAACUUGUGCUAAUACCGAAUGUGCCCUUCGGGGGAAAGAUUUAUCGCCUUUAGAGCGGCCCGCGUCUGAUUAGCUAGUUGGUUGAGGUAAUGGCUCACCAAGGCGACGAUCAGUAGCUGGUCUGAGAGGAUGAUCAGCCACAUUGGGACUGAGACACGGCCCAAACUCAUACGGGAGGAAGCAGUGGGGAAUCUUGCGCAAUGGGCGAAAGCCUGACGCAGCCAUGCCGCGUGAAUGAUGAAGGUCUUAGGAUUGUAAAAUUCUUUCACCGGGGACGAUAAUGACGGUACCAGGAGAAGAAGCCCCGGCUAACUUCGUG
rnacentral:rRNA from 1 species